AUGGCAAAACUGAUAAAAACCUUUUUUUUUUCGAGUUACCUUAUCCAAUCGUCCACCUUCCGCAGCGAGGCAUCGCCUCCCAGAUCUCGCUGCUUCUACACCCACACCGGCGCCGGCGCGCCGCAUCUCCCAAAUCCGUCCCUGGAUCGACCCGCCUCCUCCAGUCUUCUCUAUCAACCAUCCGAACCAAGAGCUGUUUCCGUCAUCUCCACUUCCCCAAGCCGCCCCUGUCGCUGGCGCUUCCACCGCGAUGUUCACGAUGACGGCCGGCUGAGGGAUCCGUCGGAGGUCAGCGACGAGUUCGGAGGCGACCUCCGCAAACCGCCUGGCGAUUUCUCCUCCGUCCAGAGCACACAGUCGACGCUUGCGCCGGCAAGUUUGUUCACCAUGGCGACCGCGCUGGCGGGCUGCGCCUGGCCUUCGGUGCCCUCUAAGCUCUACGCGCCUUUCACCUUGCGUUGCCUAUGGUGUGCCCCUGCCAUGUCAGAAAAAACCUUGCUGGGUCAUGGUGAAUGGUGUGAAAUGGAAUGGAAAGAAAAUUCUUGUGCUUGCACAGAGUGGAAGCGAAUGUGA
rnacentral:rRNA from 1 species